rnacentral:rRNA from 1 species
GGCGGCGUGCCUAAUACAUGCAAGUGAACGCACAGUUUAUACCGUAGCUUGCUACACCAUAGACUGUGAGUUGCGAACGGGUGAGUAACGCGUAGGUAACCUGCCUGGUAGCGGGGGAUAACUAUUGGAAACGAUAGCUAAUACCGCAUAAUAUUAAUUAUUGCAUGAUAAUUGAUUGAAAGGUGCAAUUGCACCACUACCAGAUGGACCUGCGUUGUAUUAGCUAGUAGGUGAGGUAACGGCUCACCUAGGCGACGAUACAUAGCCGACCUGAGAGGGUGAUCGGCCACACUGGGACUGAGACACGGCCCAGACUCCUACGGGAGGCAGCAGUAGGGAAUCUUCGGCAAUGGACGAAAGUCUGACCGAGCAACGCCGCGUGAGUGAAGAAGGUUUUCGGAUCGUAAAGCUCUGUUGUAAGAGAAGAACGGGUGUGAGAGUGGAAAGUUCACACUGUGACGGUAUCUUACCAGAAAGGGACGGCUAACUACGUG